rnacentral:rRNA from 1 species
UACGGAGGGUGCAAGCGUUGUCCGGAUUUAUUGGGUUUAAAGGGUGCGUAGGCGGGGCCUUAAGUCAGUGGUGAAAGCCGGCAGCUCAACUGUCGAAUUGCCAUUGAUACUGGGGUCCUUGAAUUCAGUUGAGGUAUGCGGAAUUGAUGGUGUAGCGGUGAAAUGCAUAGAUACCAUCAGGAACACCGAUUGCGAAGGCAGCAUACUGGGCUUGAAUUGACGCUGAGGCACGAAAGUGUGGGGAUCGAACAGG